CUGGGGAGAGAAUGAACAGACUGAAGUACAUAUGACCUGCUACAUGUUUCAGCCUGGAUGACCUUGGCCCCAUUUCGAUAAAGAGGAAUCCAUCGUUGCAGAGAGUACACAGGGCAUAUUUGUAAAGUGAGUCGCUUUGGUGAGAUCUGCUUUAUUUUCUUAUGCCGAUCUUUUUCUGGGACCAGUUCUUCUUGUAGACUCUGACAGAUACUGACUCUCUCUCUGCGCUGCCUUCCCUUUGGAUCCAAGAUGAACCUUGGCAUGUUUGAGAACUUAUGGGGGUAGAACUCAGAUGAAGUUUGACAUGGGCACCAAACUGCACCUUGUGCGUGAGGAGACACCGGAAAAAGGUUUCAAGAACAGAGCAUUUGUGCAUCCUGGUUCCUGUGGAUUCAAUGUCUGGGAGUUUCCUGGAGACGCUUCACAUGGGAAGGUUUAUUGGUUGGCAACCUCUCAACUGACUCCUGGAGUAUUUUGUACCUCCCACUUUUGGAGUGAAGAAUUAACAGGCUGUUUCUGCCAAAUUGAUAUCUUACUCUCCACUGGAAUUCUCCUAAUACAGCGGAACUCCUAAACUCCCUGAAGUGGCAUAUGUACACGGGACAGAGCUUGGCAAUGUCUUGACAACUUAGCACAGAAGCCAGAUGACAUAAGCCACUUACUCUCAAUAUCUUUUAAGAAGCUUUCCCUGGGAUUCCCUUAAGGGUUUAAGCAGGACUAUGCCCUGGCUUCCUUCGAAAUUUUACUCAAGGAGGUGCAGGUUCUAACAGGCCAAGCGGCCUAUGCUGGUGGCAGCCAGGCUCAUUCCCGACCACAUUCCUAUUCUACUGCUAAACUGCUUUGACCCCAAUGGUGUCAGAGCAGUGAAGACUCCCAGAGCUGUUCAGAGGAAGCGAAGGAACAAUUUCAAAGGAGCUUCGUAGGUUUUCACGACUGUGAGUCAUCUCCUUAGACUCUGUGGCUACCUUUGAAGUUCUAAACCACAUGAUGACGCUCACUUCUCUGGCAGCCGUGCCAUUCCUGAGGCAUCAUCGCCCAAAGUCCUGACUGAGCUGAAAAGGAACUGUGAUCACCAAGAAAACCAUCUGUAAACUCUUCGAGUAUGGUCGUCGGAAUUGUCUGGCCAAGCUAGCUACCAAAAUCUUGUUGAAGUUGGAGUUUUCUUAACUCUGAGGAAAUUUUUCUCCCUUGGGACUUGUGAGACCAAACUUGAGUCUUUCUGAAAGAUGUUGAUUUUUGAGGUGAUGUGUGUCUUAGCUUAAAAAAUACUCAGGAUUCUUCUCAACAGGUUAUUAAAAGAGAUCUUUCCUAUUGGCUGAGAAGUCCAAGUGGGGCUGGGGAGA